rnacentral:rRNA from 1 species
AUUGAACGCUGGCGGCAGGCCUAACACAUGCAAGUCGAGCGGAGCGGCGGACGGGUGAGUAAUGCCUAGGAAUCUGCCUGGUCGUGGGGGAUAACGUCCGGCAACGGGCGCUAACACAGACUCCUAUCAGAUGAGCCUAGGCCGGAUUAGCUAGUUGGUGGGUUAAAGGCAGACCGAGGCGACGAUCAGUAACUGGUCUGAGAGGAUGAUCAGUCACACUGGAACUGAGACACGGUCCAGACUCCUACGGGAGGCAGCAGGGGGGAAGAUUGGACAAUGGGCGAAAGCCUGAUCCAGCCAUGCCGCGUGUGUGAAGAAGGCCUUCGGAUUGUAAAGCACUUUAAGUUGGGAGGCGUUACCAACAGAAGAAGCACCGGCUAACUUCGUGCCAGCAGCCGCGGUAAUUC